CCUUCAAUAAAUAUUUUGAAUAAAUAGUUGUUGAAUUCAAAAUAAUUGAAUAUUUUCACAAUGCCAGUGUUAUAACUCUAUCCUUAAAAUCUCUGUGUUGUGACUGUUCAUACACUGGGUUUUAACCAAGUCACUGCCAAGAUGAAUGGUUUUCUCUUGGAAUUACAAUGCUGUGUCGGAAAAACCUUAGAAUAAAAUUCAAAAGAGUACGGCUCUGAGUCAGACCACCACUUAUUUCAUUUAGUGAUUUUUGAGACAAAUCCCACAGACUCUGUCAGUUCAGCUAUCAAAUGAAUAUACAGGGACAAAUCCUAUGCUUAAUGUCUUAUACAUAUUUUUGUAUUCAUGAUUUUACCUUGACACUGAUGUUAACAACCUAUUGAAGGGUUUCAUUGGUAUCAAACACAACUGAAUCUUGACCUAACUAUAGAUUGACUGACGUUAAGUAAGCUAAAUGGUCUCCUCAAGAUUCUAUGCCUACGUCUUCAUUUUAAAAUGAGUUCAUAUACUUAUAGUUCAUUUCUCAUCAGAUUGCUGUGAAGUCAAAAGUGAAAAAGCAUGUAAAGUGCCUUGCACAAAGCCUUCAUAUAAAAGGGAGUUAUCUUCAAGUCUCAGCUAUCCCUUUAACAAGGCUCGCUCUGCUUUUCUCUUUUUCCAAGGAAAAACACACGUUGUAAAAUAAGCAUUCUUCAAAGACAACCUGAAGACGUCUGGGAAUUCCAAAGGCUGAAAAUUCCAUGAGUUCAUAGAAGCUUUCACUAAUUCCACAGAUUUAAAGACAAAAGAGAGAGAGUCAACUGUGUGCCCAAACUCAUUUCUGAUGAUUUCUUCCAUCCUACCCUUUCUGCCUCUCUGGGGGUGGCUGUGCCUGUAAAAAACAUUGAAGUUGUCAGGAACAGAGUCUGCUUUCAAGACUGGAAUGUCAGAGUAGAGGCUUCUGUUCCUCAGACCAGAAGAGACUUGAUUUGACCGUGGACUACAGACAGCACAAGACUAUGAUCCCUAAGAAAAAGAAAACAGAUGAGAUUUGUAUUCUCUGAUGUCUCCCCUUGCCUACAAAGUUUGGUGCUUCUCUGAUUUAAUUGUUUGGAAGCAGUCACUGGAAGCAAGGCUAUGUGACUCGGCUUUGGUGAUGCAGUCCAGCUGGGGUCUGACAGUCUGAAAUUGUGGCGCACACGCCUCUGCUCUGAGCAGAGUCCCCACCACAGCUAUGAAUGGGGGGGUCUGGGAGAGAAACACCCUCUCUUGUCACAAAGAAAACAUCACAACCCCGAAGGAAAUUACCGACAUCUUAAGGAAAUGGUUCUGACUGAGGUCUUCCGACAUGCAAUACUAUGUGCUGACUCAGGGAAAACUUAAGGCAACAUGCUGAAAACAUUUACAGGCCCGGAAAAUAACUGGUUGAAUAAUUCAAGAUGCUUUUAAGUUACAAAAAGAAUACUUAAAAACAAAUAAACCUCCCUUUCCAAAAGC